ACGAACGCUGGCGGCGUGCCUAAUACAUGCAAGUAGAACGCACAGUUUAUACCGUAGCUUGCUACACCAUAGACUGUGAGUUGCGAACGGGUGAGUAACGCGUAGGUAACCUGCCUGGUAGCGGGGGAUAACUAUUGGAAACGAUAGCUAAUACCGCAUAAUAUUAAUUAUUGCAUGAUAAUUAAUUGCAAGGUGCAAUUGCACCACUACCAGAUGGACCUGCGUUGUAUUAGCUAGUAGGUGAGGUAACGGCUCACCUAGGCGACGAUACAUAGCCGACCUGGGAGGGUGAUCGGCCACACUGGGACUGAGACACGGCCCAGACUCCUACGGGAGGCAGCAGUAGGGAAUCUUCGGCAAUGGACGAAAGUCUGACCGAGCAACGCCGCGGGAGUGAAGAAGGUUUUCGGAUCGUAAAGCUCUGUUGUAAGAGAAGAACGGGUGUGAGAGUGGAAAGUUCACACUGUGACGGUAUCUUACCAGAAAGGGACGGCUAACUACGUG
rnacentral:rRNA from 1 species